CCUACGGGAGGCUGCAGUGGGGAAUAUUGCACAAUGGGCGCAAGCCUGAUGCAGCCAUGCCGCGUGUGUGAAGAAGGCCUUCGGGUUGUAAAGCACUUUCAGCGGGGAGGAAGGCGUUAAGGUUAAUAACCUUGGCGAUUGACGUUACCCGCAGAAGAAGCACCGGCUAACUCCGUGCCAGCAGCCGCGGUAAUACGGAGGGUGCAAGCGUUAAUCGGAAUUACUGGGCGUAAAGCGCACGCAGGCGGUCUGUCAAGUCGGAUGUGAAAUCCCCGGGCUCAACCUGGGAACUGCAUUCGAAACUGGCAGGCUAGAGUCUUGUAGAGGGGGGUAGAAUUCCAGGUGUAGCGGUGAAAUGCGUAGAGAUCUGGAGGAAUGCCGGUGGCGAAGGCGGCCCCCUGGACAAAGACUGACGCUCAGGUGCGAAAGCGUGGGGAGCAAACAGGAUUAGAUACCCGGGUAGUC
rnacentral:rRNA from 1 species